GGAAAGUAUAACUGACUAGUUUAGCAAACAACAAACAGAGAGAGAAUUCUAUGACUCCCUAAGGAGAGAAAAGAAAAAAGAAGAACAAGAAGUUCUCAGCAUCGAGGGUGGAAAGAGGUGCCUCCCAACCAAGUGUUCAGUCUCCACGCUGAAGUCCAACCACUCAAAAAAAGUUAGCUAUUUUGCACACAAAUAACUAACCAUUUCACACACAAAAAUCAGAGGGCUAAACUGUGGCCAACGCCUGCACAGAAGGGAGAGGGAGCAUGGACUCUGCCUCCCAUGAGAGGCCCCCAUAAUGGACCUCCAGAAUCAUAAGUCCCUGCACUCAGGGGAGUGCAGGUGUUGCUAACAAGUGCCAGCAACAAGACAAAAGUGGAGAAGGCAGAAUCAUGCCUUUGAAGUGCAUCUGAAGAAGUGGGUUCUUUACUCAUGAAAGCUUAUGCCCAAAUAAAUAUGUUAGUCUUUAAGGUG